UACUGGUUUAUCUGCCUAUUUUUCUUGUG
rnacentral:piRNA from 1 species